AAGCGGGGAGUAAUCCUCGCCCUAGAAGAUGGGCCCGCGGCGCAUUAGCUAGUUGGGGAGGUAAAGGCUUCCCAAGGCAACGAUGCGUAGCCGACCUGAGAGGGUGAUCGGCCACACUGGGACUGAGACACGGCCCAGACUCCUACGGGAGGCAGCAGUAGGGAAUCAUCCGCAAUGGGCGAAAGCCUGACGGUGCAACGCCGCGUGAGUGAAGAAGGUUUUCGGAUCGUAAAGCUCUGUUAUCCGAGAAGAACAAGGA
rnacentral:rRNA from 1 species